ensembl:lncRNA
CGUGUUUUGUGGCCCUCCUUCCCCUCAGGUACACAGAGGAGCACCCCCUCUGUAAGAUCUGGAAGGCCCGACAGCCUAGAUGAGGAAGAUCUUGGGCGAGGGUUCCAGGUUGAAAUUCUUCCCUGAGCUGAGCAGGGCAGGAGCUGGCCAGCCUGAACCCUGCUUCCCCAGACGUGAAGUGGAGACAGUAACACCUGCUCGGAUGACACCAGCGCACCACUGCAGGACUGUUCAAUAACACAGGACUGGUAAACUACAAAUUUGGUUCAAUUCUCUGGGAUCUGAAAAAUGAAAGCAAACAUGUAUUUUGUUCCAGA